rnacentral:tRNA from 1 species
GGGAUUGUGGCUCAGUGGUAGAGCACUUGUUUAUCAUGUAUGAGCACUGGGUUCGAUUCUCAGCACCA